CGGAAUGUCAUGCAACGGGACGACUGCUGGAUCCUGGUGUAUUACCAGAGCAUGGAAUGCCAGCACUCUUCCAGGUGUAGCUUCAAGAGAAUGAUCCAUGGUUUGCCACAAGAAGACAUUCGAGCAGAGAAGCAACAAGCAGCAGCCUGGACAGAGGCUACUGAGGCACACAGGGAAGUGGCUCAGCUCCUCCUAGCAGGAUCCAAGGCAGGAUCCAAGGAAGCAGGUUAAUUUACUGUGAGGCAGAGAUGUGUCCUACUGAAUACUAGGCCCCAUUAACUUAAUAUGCUGUGAAGUUCACACCCUUUGCACUAAAAUAUAGGAAACACAUUAUCUGGCCAGUUAAUUCACCUAAGGAGCUGCAGCAAGUAGAGGCAGGUAUUUUCAACACAAAUAAAAUAAGUUUGGUGUGAAUUAACCCUUGA
ensembl:lncRNA